AUUGAACGCUGGCGGCAUGCUUUACACAUGCAAGUCGAACGGUAACAGCACUUCGGUGGCUGACGAGUGGCGAACGGGUGAGUAAUACAUCGGAACGUGCCUAGUAGUGGGGGAUAACUACUCGAAAGAGUAGCUAAUACCGCAUGAGAUCUAAGGAUGAAAGCAGGGGACCUUCGGGCCUUGCGCUACUAGAGCGGCUGAUGGCAGAUUAGGUAGUUGGUGGGAUAAAAGCUUACCAAGCCGACGAUCUGUAGCUGGUCUGAGGGGACGACCAGCCACAGGGGGAUGGAGACACGGCCCAGGGUCCGAGGGGAGGCAGCGGGGGGGAAUUUUGGAAAAUGGGGGAAAGCGUGACCCAGCAAGGCCGGGGGGAGGAAGAAGGCCUGCGGGUUGUAAAAGGGUUUUGGAGGGAAAAAAAGGCCCUGUUUGAAAAGAGGGGGGUGAUAAGGGAACGGAAAAAAAAAACCCGGGCUAAUAAGGG
rnacentral:rRNA from 1 species